CCUACGGGAGGCUGCAGUGGGGAAUAUUGGACAAUGGGGGGAACCCUGAUCCAGCCAUGCCGCGUGUGUGAAGAAGGCCCUCGGGUUGUAAAGCACUUUCAGUGAGGAAGAACGCCUGGUGGUUAAUACCCAUCAGGAAAGACAUCACUCACAGAAGAAGCACCGGCUAACUCCGUGCCAGCAGCCGCGGUAAUACGGAGGGUGCGAGCGUUAAUCGGAAUUACUGGGCGUAAAGCGCGCGUAGGUGGCUUGAUAAGCCGGUUGUGAAAGCCCCGGGCUCAACCUGGGAACGGCAUCCGGAACUGUCAAGCUAGAGUGCACGAGAGGAAGGUAGAAUUCCCGGUGUAGCGGUGAAAUGCGUAGAGAUCGGGAGGAAUACCAGUGGCGAAGGCGGCCUUCUGGACUGACACUGACACUGAGGUGCGAAAGCGUGGGUAGCAAACAGGAUUAGAUACCCUAGUAGUC
rnacentral:rRNA from 1 species